UGUUAAGCCCUUUAAAAAGUGACAUUAUAAGUAUCAUUUUCCAUGGAAUAAUUCCUUAGAAAGUUCAUGGCAGAAUUUGAGUCCCAAUUUUCUUCAUGACAAAUAUGAGAACUCUGAAAGCCAUCUCUUCCCUAAACCAUUCCUGAUAAUCAAUUUUGAGAGUCAUAAAACUGUUUCAUCGAUGACAGCAGCUAAAUAUCAGGAAUUGCAGAGCCUCAACUCUCUUGAAGAAUUGUGUAUGUACAAAUACCAUUGCUCAUACUGUUAUUGGAACUAAGAGAGCAAAGCAUGCCCUAUUUUUGUUGGAUUUAAGAGUUUUAAUUUUCCUAAGAUAGAUACUUGGAAGCUGGAACAAGGAUAUGAAAGAGAUCAAGAAGAGAUUGAGCACAGGUUGGCCAAAAUGUUAAGCAUACAUAUUCAUUCAAAAACAUCCUUUGAGCAAUUUGAGAAUACCCACCAAUUCUCAAUUUUCUAUGACUUGUUUCCACUUCCAUAACAUCAAUGUCUGAACUUAUCUAUCUUACAGAGGCACAGAGAAAAUCAAUGAGAUCUGUAAUUGCAGAAUCACAGUUCAAUGAUACAUGUUGAGGCCUCGCGUCCCUGGUGAUCCACGUAGUUGCCAAAUGGGUGGACGCACGAUCUCAACCAAUAUAAGUUCUUGAUUCAGUCGGCCUACCUGCAAAAGGCAUCCGAACAGGGUGUCCGGACGCACCCUCCGAUGGUUUUGUCAACCAUGGUUAGAGAGAGAUAAAUCAGUUGGCCUUUUACUAGGUAUCAAAAGCUUACCUUCCUCUUUGUGUGAAGGCUUAUAUAUAUUGUUCCAGAAGCACUGUUUCCCUCUUUAAUGGUAGGGAGAUAUUUUGUGUUGUCAUGAUGACAUUAGGUGGCGGCAGGGCUAUCAUCACCCUACGGGCGGCUGAUAGAGAUCGUGGUAAGUGAUGCAGCUAUCAGAGAUCGUGGUAGGCGAUCAUGUGAAGUGAUCGUGAGAAGUGACUUGUUGUCACUUCAUCUUGUCCUUUCACUCUACAGGUGGCAGAACGUGGGCUAUGACAGGCUGUUGUGAUAACGUGUAAGACUUGCUUAUUUCAGUCAAUGAUCCGGACAAUCAUAUCCGGAUGGCCUAUGUUGGUCAUCCAGAUGUAUUGCGGAAGUCGUCCGGAUGUUAUGCUUAUUAGUGUCGUGUGCCUCUCCUUGAGGUAGUCCGGAUAGGAGAAGCGCGCCACGUGUACUCUUAGGGAAAUCCGAAUGAGGGUGAUCCGGAUGAUAAUGCGUGCCACAUGUCACCAUGAGGUGUGUGGCACGUGUUCUUAGGAGGAGGGGCCCCUACAAUGCCCCCCUUUUUAACUUGCCUAUUUUGCCCGAGCAAAAAAUGGGCGGGUUAAAAAAAUAAUUGGUUUUUUGAAACUGAAGUCGUCCUUUUUGUUUGUUUGGGCCACGUGGCGAGCGGGGGUGAGGAAGCCAAAAAAGCAUUUAUGAUGGGCCGCCGACUCUGGGUAUUCCCAAGCAGCAUGUCGUUUCAAUGAUGGCGCAACUGUGCGUUUGGUUUUCCGAGGGGCUGUCUCCCUAUAAAUAGCAUACUGUGUCUUCUGUUACAUUUUUCCUACUGCGUUUUUUUUCUGUCAGUGCUGCUUCUUCUUCCUUCUGUGCUUUCCUUUGUUUUUCUGAGUGAAGCCCUAGAAUUUUUCUGCCGGUGAUUUUUGCGUUCUUGCCGGUGACUGUACUGCGGAUUUCAACCCUACUCCUCCAGACUUACACUUGGUACGUGCAUUUGUUCUUGUCUUUUCCUUUGCUGCGUUUGGCUUUGUUGGUUUUGUUUCUGAUUUGUUUGGGUAAGUUGCUUGCGACUGUGUGUGUGAAUGUUGGUAUUUUUUGGUUUCUAGGGUUUUUUGAGGGUGUUUUUUACUGCUGGUACCUCUUUCGUGCAGCUUUACGAAACGAGAAGAUGUCUGCGAACCAGGAAGUGACUUCACCUAGCCCAUGCGGUGCUGCUCAUGCCAAAAAAUCUGUUGACAAAUUGAGCGUGAAGGAGUUCCAUGAGCGAUUUUGUAUUCCCAACGGUGUUUCUAUUGAAUUGACCGACGAGGAGGCUGUAUCGACUGAAAACAGUGAAGACCACGCUAUAUUUUUCAGCAAGGAGCAAUUCAACGCUGGGCUCCGGUUCCCCCUUCCGUCGCUGUUCAAGGAAUUCCUGCAUUUCACCCAGAUUCCCCCGGUGUAUAUUCAUCCGAAUAUGGUCCGAGUGUUGAUGGGAUGUAGCAUCCUGAAUAUGUUGUUUAACUUGGACCUCACUCUACUGGAUGUGUUGUUCAUCUACUCGAUCAAGAAGCUAAAGACUGAUAUCUUCAGCUUUGUUGCAUGCCUGCCGUCCAUGUAGUUGGUGACUAGUCUGCCGGACUCCACCAAGGGGGGUGCCAAGGGUCAUGUACUGGUCAAGGACGUAUGGGCAGGUUUGGCGGUUCAUCCGAACAGACCAUUCACCCCCAAUCAGUCGUUGAAAGUCCCAGGUAUUGAGAUGGUUGUGUUAAAGUAAGAAUUCACAUUGUAACUAUGUGAAUGGACUUUUUUGACAUCUAAGCUAGCUACUUUUGUUCUCUCUCCUUUUUCCUUUUUGAAUUCUCUCUUCUUUUAUGAAAAGUCCUCAAGUUGAAAAAGAGUCUUGUUACUCCUAUCUUUCUACAUUGUUAUUAUUUUCCAUUAAAAUGAACCACCAAAUAAAGUUAUAAUUUCAAAUCCACCUACGAUCCGUUUAUUUUAUUUUAUAAAUAAAUUUAAGUAUAAAAGACAAAACUAUUAUAAUGUAUGAAUAAAUAAAAGUGAUUGAUUUAGUCAUAUGACCAAUAUCAAAUAUUUGCUUUUGAUAUCAUUGUAAAAUCUUAUCAUUCAUUAACCAUCAAUGUAAAUAAUAGUUUUUCUUCAUCCCUUAAUCACUUUCCCUCAAAAUUUGUAGGACUUUUUUACAUCUAACACUUUUAUAUAUAUAUAUAUAUAUAUAUAUAUAUAUAUAUAUAUAUAUAUAUAUAUUUCCUUUUUUGAAUUCUUUCACUUCUUUUAUGAAAAGUCGAUGUACCUAGAAUAUUAGGUUGAAAAAUGAGUUAUGACAUGCCUAUCUUUCCUCAUUGUUCUAAUUUUUCAUAGAAAUGAUCCAACAAUUAAGUUGAAAUUUCAUUGGAAGAUGAUGGAUGGUGGCCAAUUGGUCAUGGCCAUGGAGUUGGUAUUAGUGGUCCUCUUAUGAUGUUCUCUAGGUAAAGUCAAAUAAUCUCAUUAUUCAAGACAACGAGCUUUGUCUUCUAUGGAAAAAAGAUAAUUAGGAGAGUUUGUCUUAGAACUAUAUAUCUAAGUAAAACAAGUCGCUAACAUGAUAUGGACAAAACUCCAAAUUUCAUCUAAGUAAUUCAUAUCCACAUAUAAUUCGAGGAACAAUUUAAUCUCCACCUCUUAGUAAAACUUUUUUAAAAUAAAAAUUAAUUUGUAAUCAUGUUAAGAACUCUAGUGGAUCUAAGUAAGAGUAUUUCUAAAAGUAGUGACACCAUCUAGAGGAGAAGAGUCUACUAAGUUUUUGGUUGCACCUAUCUCAAUUCAAUUCAAAAUGUUGUGGAUUAUUGAAAAUGAGUUUAUAAAAGAAAAUGAAAAUCUACUCAAAAAAUUUGAAUACUAAGAGUCUAAAUUCCAAGAAAUUUAUCUAAUGUGAAAUAAUUUUACUUUUGGAUGACAACCUAUGUUCUCUUUUUACUUUUUUUUUUUUGGCUUGUCAAACUAAAUUCUUAUUUUUUUGGCAAAUAGAAUGAGAUGGUUGGGUCUAUCAUAAUGUCAGGUCAAUCAUUCCAAUAAUGGAAUCAAUUUCUUAUGUUUAAGCACUCUAGAUUUACCACAGUGCAUGUCCAGUUAAUUAUUCAAGUAAGUGGAUCCAAACUUCUCUUUUUAAUAUCAUUCAUUACAAGCCACAAGAUUUAUAUGUUGAGCUUAUCUUAAUGUUAAAUUAGAUGCUGGUUCAAGCCAUGGAAUUUGAACUUCUCUUCACAACAAUCUUACUUAAUUUCGUUAAUUUUGAAGAAAUUGCUUUUUAAAUGGAAAAGGAUUGCCAUAAAAUUCUUUAUUGUGAUGAUUAAUUUAUCAUUUACAUCUAUACUUACCUAAUCUCAAUCCAUUUAAUUAUUUCAUUUAAUUUGAAAUUGGCUAUGUAAGUCAUGGUAAACUUUCGAAAUGCAAGUUUUUCAUGGAUGGAAGCAUAUAAAAAAAUUGAAUAUUAUUGUAUAGGAUGAUAUACAUUAUUAAUAUUAUAAAAAUAUCAAAUCAAAUUCGGUUAUACUUGAAUUGUUUGAACCUUGGUUCAACUCCAACUCAAAUUUAGUUCAGGUGGAAAAACUUAACCCUUGCCUAAUUAAGUGUUGAAAAUGAUUGUGCAAAUCCACCGAAAUAUUGGGUGGGAUCAAGUAUCCCAUUCAAAUUGCACCCUAAUGCUAAGGACCGUAUUUCCCUUUCUUUCUUUCUAUAUUCUUGAGGGGACUCUUUUACAUCUAGUUACUCUUUGACAUCUAGCUACUUUUUUUUUCACUUUUGUGAAAAGCUAAUGUCCAUGGACCCUUAGGUUGAAAAAUGAGUUAUAUAUAACUUGCCUAUCUUUCCACAUUGUUGUUUUCUCAAUAGAAUUCAAAUCGACAUCCUUUUACAACAGAAUGAUGGGGAGUGAUCCUUUGGAUGUGAUGAUACAAAUUUGAUUUGGUUGUACAUUAUUUGGGAGAAACAAAGUCAUGUAAAUUUAUUCAUAUGUUAUAUGGGUGUAUUUGGGCAAAGUACAUUGAUAAGUUCUCAGUUGACAUUUAUUUAACACUGACUGUUGUCGCCUCGCGUAUCCGGUGAUCCACGUUGCUGCUAGAGGGAUGGACACGUGAUUCUCAACACACAAGGGGUUCUUGAUUCAGCGAUUGCACCUGCAAAAGGCAUCCAGACAGGGUGUCCGGACGCACCCUCCGAUGGUUUUGUUAGCCAUGGUGAAAGAGAGAUAUAUAAAUCAGUUGGCCUUUUACUAGGUAUCAAGAGGUUACCAGGGGAUCAGCCUUUUCUUCUUCGUGUGAAGUCAUAUAUAUACAGCUUCAGGGGUACUGCUCCUUUCAUUAAUGGUGAGAAGAUAUUUUAUGUUGUGAUGAUGAUAAUAGGUGUCAGUAGGAGCACUAUCAUCCUACGAACGGUUGUCAGAGACCAUGGUAGGUGAUGCGGCUGUCAGAGAUCGUGGGAAGCGAUUAUGUAGAAUGAUCGUGGGAAGUGACUUGCUGUCACUUCCUCUUGUCUUCUCAUUCUGCAGGUGAUGGGAUGUGGGCCAUGGCUGCUUGUUGUGAUUGCGUGUAAGACUCGCUUUACUUUAAUUGACCAUCCAGACGAUUUAUAUCCGGAUGGAUCAUGCUGAUUAUCCGGAUGUGUUGUGGAGACUAUCCGGGUGUCUACGCUCUGCCAGCGUCGUUUGCUCUUCCUUGGAUAGGAGAAGCUGAAACGUCGUUUGUCUUUCCUUGAGGGGUUCCGGAUAGGAUAGCCGCACCAUGCAUAUCUUUAGGGGAAUCCGGAUGAUGAUGGUCCGGCUGAUAACACGUGCCACGCGUCACCAUGAGCUGCGUGCCACGUGUUUCCCAAGGGAAGGGGUCCCUACAUUGCCCCCCUUUUUAACUUGCCUAUUUUGCCCAAAAAAUGGGCGGGUUAAAAAUAACUGGGUUUUUGAAAAUUGAAAAAGUCCAUUCGUCUAACUUGGCCACGUGGCGAGUGGGGGUGCGGAAGCCAAAAAAGGCAUUUAUGGCGAGCCGCCGACCCUGUGUAUCCCCAGGCAAUAUGUCGUUUCAAUGAUAACAUGGUUGUUGGUUUGCCUUUCCGAGAGGCUGUCCUGCUAUAAAUAGGGUACUGUACCUCUUUUUGCAAUUUUUCCUACUGCAUUCUCUUGAGAGCCUUUCUUCUUACUGCUUUUUCCUGCGUCCUUUGCUUCUCUGAGACAAACUUCGAAAGCUCUUUUGUACCGGUGCUUUUGUAUCGCGACUUUGUUUGUUUGCUGCUGGUGAUUUUGUAUCAAGGCAGUACCCGUUCUUCUUCUUCGGUGCUUUAUUUGGUACGUACCUCUUUGCUACUGCCAUUCCUUUGGUUGCAUUUGCUGGCUCUUUAAAUUUGUUUUCUGGCUUGCUUGGGCGUUGUUUUGGACGAGUCGUUUGCAAUUGUUGUUGAAUGUUGGUACUUUGUUGUUGUUUGGAGGGGUUUUUGAGGGGUUUUUCUGACUGUUUUGGGUUAGGGUUUGUGUAUUUUCUGACUGCUUGGUUUGAUUCGCUGUAUUGCUUUUGUAUGUAGAUUUUGAUUUAGCUUUGUGGUAAAAAAUGGCUCCAAAAAAGGCUGUUUCAUCUGUCCAGGUUAGCGAAGCUAGCGAAAAGGCGAUAGACAAAUUAAAUGCGAAGGAGUUCCGGGAGCGAUUCCGCAUCCCCCAUGACGUAUUGAUAGACUUGGUGAACGAGGAGGCGGCUAUGCCUACUGAGAAAGGUGGAAAAAACGUUAUCCUCUUCACAAAGGAACAAUUCAACGCGGGGCUCUGGUUCCCUCUGCCGGCGUUGUUCAAGGAAUUCCUCCACUUCUCUCAGAUUCCACCCAUCUUCAUUCAUCCCAACCUUGUCCGGGUGCUGAUGGGAUGCAACAUCAUCAACAUGCUGUACAGCCUCGACCUUACGCUACUGGAAUUGUUCUUUGUCUAUUCCCUGAAGAAAGCAAAGAAUGAUAUCUUCAGUGUGUCUGCUCACCUGCCCUCCCUUCAAAUGGUGACAGAACUGCCAGAUUCGACAAAGGGAGGGGCGAAGGGGCUGGUGGCAGUCUGGGGUGGAUGGGCGGGGCUAUCGCAGCAUCCGUCGAGGCCUUUUUCUCCGAAUUAUACCUUAAAAAUUCCGGGUAAUCUUGUUUUGUCAUUUUUUGUCCGGAUUUUGCUUUGCUGAUUUUUUCUGAUUUUUCCGGACGGAAUUCUCACCUUUUGUUGCUGACAAUGCAAGUUUGGAAUUGAGGGGCCACCUUGUGGAUUGGGUGGAAAAGGCGUCCUUUGCCUGCGUCUGCAAAUUAUUCGAAAUAGAUCCCAAGGAGAGGGCCUACAAAACAUUGCUUUCCGCGCGGAAUUUGAUAGAGGUCGUCCGGGAGCCCCAGGAAUAUGUUAUCAAUAUUCUUCCUAGGAAACUGGCAAAGGAUGAGAUAGUGCUUGGGGAGCAUUAUACUGUGAAGGAGCUCCCCCUCUAUCAGGAAGCUAAAGAGGCUGACGCUGAAAGGCGGCGAAAGCUCCUGGAGGAUAGAGAUCAGAAAAAAACUGAAGGCACUAUCCGGAAGGCUCUCGGACAGAAGGGGGGUCCGGACCCUCCUUCAAAGAAAAUUCCAGGAAAGAGGGGGAAGCUAGUGAAGAAGCAUGGGAAGGAUGUGAAGGAACCCACUCCUCCCAAGGAGUUUCCUCCUCCACAAACUACCUAUGAGGGGGAAGUAAUGAUAGAGGAGCCAGUAAAUGCUGCUCCGCACUCUAUCUCAAGCGGCCCCGGACGCAUGUCGGGGUUGAAUCACUCAGGUCCUUCCUUAGUCUCGACUGCGCGUCUGGCUAACGUGGCUGAGGAAGCUGCAUCUAUCAACCAUCCGGGCGACCUUAAUCCGGAUGCUGAUGCAGCUGAAACGGCCCCGUUGGAGGAAGCGGGGGCAGAAAGCCAAAGUCAGCCUUCCGACGACCCGGAUCGCUUGGCCAUAGUCCUGGUGAAAGGGCCUCCCCUCAAGAAGCCGCGUUUGACGCGCGAUCUACAGUCCGGACUCUUUGAGCGGCUUUAAGAGCGGCAGCAAGAGAUUGAAAUUAGCUGCGCUUCUGCCCAUGACGCUCAUCCGGAUGGAGGCGAGGUGGAGAUGGCUACUGAGACCUCAGCCGCUCCGACAAUAAUUCCGGCUGAGGAUGCAUCCGGACCUAUGUGUCCGGACGAAGAUAUGGGGGUUCCGAUUCCGGGACAAGAGUUACCAUCUCCUUCCUCACCUGAGGAGGAAUCUGCUGACGAUGCCGCUCCCGCUAGCCCUUUCAGCUACGCGGAGUUGGAAGUUAAGUUAAAGCAGAUUACACCUGAUUGGAGAGCCAUCAAGCCCUCUGCUCAGAUGUUUGAUAUGAUAGAAACGGUAUAUCGUUGUCUUGUGUUUUUGCUUUUUGACUUUUUGUUGCACUGAUGUGUUUGUUGUAGUAUGAUUUAUGUCUUUGCUUUUCUUGUUUGUGUGUCAGCUGGUGAGGGGCCUCCGCAGCAUGUCUCAACAACACGAUCUUUUUAUUCAGCUGCUGCAGACUGCAGACUAUAUGAGGACCUUCUCCUCUCGGCGCCAAGAGAUUGAAAAUCAACUGCGUCUGAGAAUGGAGGAGGCUGAGGCCAGUCUAUCCACCAUGCGAGAGGAAAAUGAAGCCCUCCGGGUGGAGUUGGCUGAGGCAAAGGGUCGAGAAGAAUCAACUGCGGGCCGCCUUCAUGAGGCGGAGGGUGAGGCAGCCCGGCUAAGGGAUGAAUUGAGUCAACUCCGGACAGAAGUUUUGAAUGAAAAGAAACAGAAGGAAGACUUGCAGCUGCGCCUGGAUGUGCAAAAAGAGGAACUUGAACGGGAGUUUGCUGUGGAAAGAGAGGAACUUGCAGCGGAUUACCAGCAACAAGUGGAUGAUACGUUUAUCUUUGGGUAUCGCUGCUGCAUGAAGAAGAACGGCAUUAAGCGAGAUACCCCUACAAUUCCUCCGGGUGAAGAAAAGAAGCUCCAUGAGAAGCCUGCUCCCUGAUAGUUUAUCUCUUUUUGCAAUUUUUCUGCUGUAAUUUUUCCUUCUGUAUUUUUUUUGUGGUCCGGAGAUCUCUUUGUAAUUACAUUUACUCAUAUCAAUAAAACAUACUUCUUUCUCAUUUGCACUUGUGUAUACUUUCUACUGAUAGUACUGCUUUAAAUUGGACACAUUCCAUGGUCUGAGUAACGGAGUGCCAUCUAGCUUUUGUAAAUGAUAGGCUCCAUUUUCGUUUGCCUUAGACACUAUGUAGGGUCCUUCCCAAUUGGCUUGGAACUUUCCCGCGCCUACUUCAGCAGUAUUUUCAAAAACUUUUCUAAGUACUAGCGUACCAUUUUUGAAGUUUCUGGGCCUGACUUUUCGAUUGUAAUGCGCUGAUGCCCUUUGUUGAUAAUCUGCCAUCCGGAUGGACGCGCUUUCUCUGACUUCGUCUGCCCAGUCCAAAUUUCUUCCUAGUUCCGUGUUGGCGUCUUUUUGCUUUGCUGCAUCAGUCCGGAUAGUAGGAAGACCUAUUUCAGUGGGAAUGACUGCAUCCAUUCCAUAUGUGAGGGCAAAAGGAGUAUUUCCUGUUGGUCGUCCGGGUGUGGUUCGAUAGGCCCACAGGACGCCGGGUAGCUCCUCCACCCACUUCCCUUUGGCUUGCUCCAGCCUUUUCUUCAAGGCAUUGAUUAGAGUUUUGUUUGUGGCUUCCGCCUGGCCAUUGCUUUGAGGAUAACGUGGCGUGGAGUAUGAAUUCCGGAUAUUCAAUUCCGAACAGAAAUUCCUGAAUGCAAUGCUGUCAAAUUGUGGACCAUUGUCAGCUAUGAUGAUUUGGGGAAUUCCAAAGCGGCAAACAAUGUUCUUCCAUACGAAUUUGGUGACAUCUUUAUCUUUGAUGCUUGCAUAUGCUUCAGCUUCUACCCAUUUACUGAAGUAAUCAGUGGCGACAAGGAGGAAUUUCUUCUGGGCGGGUGCUGCUAGGAGGGGUCCCACUAUGUCCAUGCCCCACUGCGCGAAAGGCCAUGGGCCUGAGACCGAUUUUAAUGCGGCUGAUGGCAUGCGCGGAAUGGGAGCGUAUCUUUGACAUUUAUUACACUUUUGAACAUAUGCUGCCGCGUCUUUCUUCAUUAUUGGCCAAUAGUACCCCUGUGAAUGAGCUCUAUGUGCUAGGGAUCGUCCUCCCGUAUGAUUUCCGCAUAUUCCUUCAUGUAAUUCAGCUAGCACAUACUGGGCCUCUGAAUGCCCAAGACAGCGAAGAUAAGGCCCUAUGAAAGAUCGCUUGUACAGGUGCCCCCCGAUCAGGGUGAAGCGGGCAGCCUGCACCCGGAUUUUGUGUGCUUGUUUAAGAUCUUUGGGUAAAGUGCCUGUCCGGAGAUAUUCUGCAAUAUCAUGCGUCCAUUCUUGAUUAUCCGUUUGGGUUGCCUCAACGGUGUUGCAAGUGGAAUUUUCUGCGACAAAGGGAUUGGCUUGCACAUGUAUGGGCAAUAGAAUGACUUCUUUGAUAGGUAGAGAGGCAGCUAUGCCGGCCAAAGCGUCAGCGUGCCUAUUGUCAGCUCGCUUAAUUUUUUCGAUUGUCCACUCGGUGAAUUGCUGUAAGGUGCUUCUUACUUUGGCCAAGUAUCGCGCCAUGCGUGAGUCCUUAGCCUCAUAUUCUUUCUGGACGUGCCUUACCACUAGUUGCGAGUCGCUGUAGAUCCGGAGUUUGGAGACGGAUAGAGCAAGGGCGAGGUCCAAUCCGAACAGGAUGGCCUCGUAUUCUGCUUCAUUGUUAGACGCGGAGAAUCCCAGCCGGAUGGCUUGCUCCAGAUGUUCCCCAGUUGGGGACUGUAAUAAGAGCCCAACUCCAGAGCCUGAUGAGCGUGAGGCUCCGUCAACUCGUAGUGUCCACCACUCCUGUUCACUUGAUUCGUGGUGCUGGUUGGGUCUUCGUGAAUAUUCGAGCACAAAGUCGACCAUUACUUGGCCUUUUUUGGAUAAUCUGGGUUGGAAUUCGAUUCCAAAUUCGCUCAAUUCGAUGGCCCAUUGUAGCAUUCGCCCGGUUAAAUCUGGUUUGUGCAGAAUGCUACGAAGGGGUUGGUCGGUCAAUACAAUCACUGGGUGGGCUUGAAAAUAGGGGCGGAGCUUUUGGGCAGCACUUCGAAGAGUUAAGGCUGUUAGCUCCAUUUUUGAAUACCUGGUUUCUACAUCUGCCAAUGCCCUGCUGACAUAGUAGACAGGUUUCUGCUCCUUUGGUGAAGGGCAGCGGAAUAGAACGGCGUUGAUUGCCCAUUCUGAGACAGCUAGAUACAUGUAUAGCUUCUCCUUUGGGAUGAGGCUGCUCAAGAUGGGUGGAUGCAUAAGACAAUGUUUAAUUCUUUCCAACGCGUUUUGGCAAUUGUCCGUCCACCCCUGCGUUCCAGCUUUUCGUAUUGCCAAGAAGAAGGGUCGCAACUCAUCAGUGAAGCGGGCUAUGAAACGUCCUAACGCAACGAGCUUGCCUAUGAGGCGUUGUAACUCCUUUUUGUUCCUGAGAGGAGGUGUCUCCAUGACUGCUUUGACCUGAUCCGGGCUGACUUCUAUGCCUCUUUGGCUGACCAUAAAUCCCAGAAAUUUGCCAGCACUCACGCCAAAGGCACAUUUGGAAGGAUUUAGCUUCAUGCCAUACUUUCGCAAGAGAUAAAAAACUUCUUGUAAAUGGAGGAUAUGCUGCUCUCGCGUUUUGCUUUUAACUACGAUAUCGUCAAUGUAUACUUCGACCGAGCGGCCUAUCAGAGGUUUGAAGAUUUUAGUCAUCAAUCUUUGAUACGUGGCGCCAGCGUUCUUGAGUCCGAAUGGCAUGACUUUGUAGCAAUAGAGGCCGUGUGGCGUUAUGAAUGCUGUUUUUUCUUCGUCAUCCGGGGACAUGGGGAUUUGAUGAUAUCCGGAGAAGGCAUCCAAGAAAGAGAGCAUCCCCUGUCCGGAAGUGGAAUCCACAAUCUGAUCUAUUCGUGGUAAGGGGAAACUAUCUUUUGGACAUGCACUGUUGAGAUUGGUGUAAUCUACACAAACUCGCCAUUUUCCUUCUUUUUUGGGUACCACGACUACGUUUGCCAGCCAAUCCGGAUACGAAACUUCUCUGAUGAAUCCGGCUUCGAGCAAUUUAUCAAUCUCGUUCCGGAUGAUUCUUUGUCUAUCCGGGUGGAAGCGCCUAAUCCUCUGCCGGACGGGUCUGGUAGUUGAAAAGACGUUAAGCCUGUGAGAUGCAAUGGAGGGAUGAAUUCCCUUCAUGUCAGAAUGUGCCCACGCGAAGAUGUCAUGGUUCUGUCUGAGGACUUUUUGCAUGCCGCGAGUUUCUUCUUGUGUCAUGAGGGAACUGAUGUUUGUGAGGUGAUCACUUUCCUCCGAAAUUUGGAUUGUCUGUAAGGGAUCUGCUACCGGGGGAUCUUUGUCCGCCGGAUCCAAUAAUUGCUAUUGGUCGUGCGCAAUGCUAGGUUCAGGGGGAGAUGCAUCCUCCUGGUUAGCGACUGCCUCGCGUGCUAUUUGAUAGCACUGGCGAGCGGCUAAUUGGCUGCCAUACAAGUCGGUUUGCCCUUCGUUGGUGAGGAAACUCACCAUUUGAUGAUAUGUGGAAGGGAUGGCUUUCAUGUAGUGGAGCCAUGUGCGUCCCAAGAUGACAUUGAAGGGUGAUAACUCUUGUACCACCGAGAAUUGUACGUUGAGAGUGACUGGACCAGCUUGGACCGGCAGUAUAAUGUCUCCUAUGGAUGUGGUUGAUGACCCAUUGAAUCCGGAUAAGAUUCGUCCGGGGUUUUCGAGACCCGCGAGACUAUGUCCCAUAUGGCCAACGACUGAUGCUUGCACCAGAUCGGCUGAACUGCCUGGGUCGACCAAGAUACGUCUUACAUCAAACUCUCCUAUUUCUAGGGAGAGGAUGAGGGCGUCGCGAUGUGGCUGUAGCGUCCGGGUGGGAUCUGCUGGUGGGAAAAUGAUUGUCCCAUCUAUGGGGCGAGGGCCCUCUCCAGUAAGACCCGGCCGGAUGGAAUUAAUGCGUUCGCGUAUUGACGCGGCUCGCAGCAAUUUCUGCUUUUUCCUUCUGGAAUCAUAUUCCUCGUCAGAUGGGCCCCCGUUGAUAUAGUUUAUGACAGCCUUGGGGGCGAUUGGGGCACUCGGGGCCCCAGAGUUACGAUGUUGAGAUACGUCUCUUCCUCCAGUAUCUGAGCGGAUGUACUGUUUUAAAUGUCCUGCUUUGAUGAGCCUUUCAACUAGAUACUGGAGGGACCGACAUGUCUCUGUUGUAUGACCAUGGUCUUUGUGAAAGGCGCAUUUCUUGCUGCGGUCUCUUAUGGAUGGGUCCGUUUCGAGGGGUCUAGGCCACCUGAAGUCGGACAACCCUUGGAUCAUUGGGAGAAGCUUUUCGUAUGAUAUGGAUAGGGGUGUGAUGGGCGGCCUAUCCGGACGACUCGGCCCGUCCUGCCUCCGGUCAACUGGUUUUGGCCGGUCCGGAGGUUUGGCAUGUUUGUCCGUGUUAUCUCUAGAAGCCCGUCCGGCAACCAAAACUUGCUGGGUGGCUGCACGUACGUCAUCUUCGAGCAUUGAAUAUUUGUUAGCACGUCUGAACAAAUCGUCCAUCGUUGUAGGAGGCUUUUUGGCCAGCGAUUCAAAAAAUGGAGUGCCUGGACAGAUGCUUCUUUUGAAGAUCUGUAGGAUAGCAUCCAUGCUGCAAACCUCUAUUUGGAGUACGGCUUGGCCAAAUCGUUUCACAAAUUCGCUCAAGGAUUCGUUGUCUCUCAUUUUUAUGUUCUGGAGGGUGCUGAUAUUCUGCUUGUGUCGAGCAGAGCACAAGUACUGUCCCACGAAUGCUUCAGAGAGGUCCCUGAAAUUGUCAACAGAGUUAGGAGGUAGGCGAUGAAACCAUGAGAGGGCCUGCCCUUGAAGGCUGGCGGGGAAUACUUUGCAUAGCAAUGCAUCGUUGCCAAUAUCGAGCGUCAUGAGCUGUCGAUAGUGCAUGAUGUGAUCGAAGGGAUCGUUGGUCCCAUCGUAUGUGGAAAACUUUGGUACGAGGAAUCCCCUUGGGGGCUCGUAAUGGGUGAUAUGAGAGCAAAAGGGCAUGGAGAGCAUGUCAUCCAGCCUUUUGCUGAUGGAGCCAAUGGGUGGCUCGUUUGGGAGGUUUCUCCCAGCUGGUCGUUCCGCUAGGUGUGAGUGAACGUUCCGCAUCGCUGGGGUGACCAUGGGGUCACGAUGCGGAGGUACGUUCUGCACCAUGGGAGCGAUCAUAGGAUCGGGGCGUGGUGCCCGGGUUGUGGCUACUGGUGGCCUUGAUCUCCCAGGCUCUUGUGGGCCUAGUCUUGCGCGCAUAGAACUUGACAACUGUGAUUUUCUAUCACGUUGUCUUUUUGCUGAAAAAUGAGUGGAAUCUGAGCUUUCCUCACGGGGAGCUCGAGGCAUGGGCGUGCGUGGCUCAUGGGGCCUUGCGUUGUAUGCUCUUGGGGCAGCUCCUGUUGACCCAGGAUAUAUCGAUUCUGGCUCUGGCCUUGAAUUUGCCACCUGGCCUCUUGAAUGUUGACGACGAGGAGGACCUAACGUUGAGGCUUGAAUGCGUAACACAGCGUUUUCUUCCCUUAACCUCUCCGUCUCCUGGAGGAGAGCUCUUAGUUGUUUUUCGCUCGCCAACUGUCUUUUUUCGAUGGCUUGACGCCAUUCGUAAUUAUCUUCCUCCUUUCUACCAGAUGAUCGACUUUGGGAAGGUGUGGCCAUCUUUGCUAGUGACUGAAUCAGAAUAAAAAGUAAAAGUUUCCCACAGACGGCGCCAAUGUUGUCGCCUCGCGUAUCCGGUGAUCCACAUUGCUGCUAGAGGGAUGGACACGUGAUUCUCAACACACAAGGGGUUCUUGAUUUAGCGAUUGCACCUGCAAAAGGCAUCCGGACAGGGUGUCCGGACGCACCCUCCGAUGGUUUUGUUAGCCAUGGUGAAAGAGAGAUAUAUAAAUCAGUUGGCCUUUUACUAGGUAUCAAGAGGUUACCAGGGGAUCAGCCUUUUCUUCUUCGUGUGAAGUCAUAUAUAUACAGCUUCAGGGGUACUGCUCCUUUCAUUAAUGGUGAGAAGAUAUUUUAUGUUGUGAUGAUGAUAAUAGGUGUCAGUAGGAGCACUAUCAUCCUACGAACGGUUGUCAGAGACCAUGGUAGGUGAUGCGGCUGUCAGAGAUCGUGGGAAGCGAUUAUGUAGAAUGAUCGUGGGAAGUGACUUGCUGUCACUUCCUCUUGUCUUCUCAUUCUGCAGGUGAUGGGAUGUGGGCCAUGGCUGCUUGUUGUGAUUGCGUGUAAGACUCGCUUUACUUUAAUUGACUAUCCAGACGAUUUAUAUCCGGAUGGAUCAUGCUGAUUAUCCGGAUGUGUUGUGGAGACUAUCCGGGUGUCUACGCUCUGCCAGCGUCGUUUGCUCUUCCUUGGAUAGGAGAAGCUGAAACGUCGUUUGUCUUUCCUUGAGGGGUUCCGGAUAGGAUAGCCGCACCAUGCAUAUCUUUAGGGGAAUCCGGAUGAUGAUGGUCCGGCUGAUAACACGUGCCAAGCGUCACCAUGAGCUGCGUGCCACGUGUUUCCCAAGGGAAGGGGUCCCUACACUGACCACUAUGGGAUGGUGAGGGCUUUCGACUGUUUUUGGACACAAUGAUAACAAUAAUCAAGUUGUAUAACAAUUGUAUGUAGUAUAUUAGUUCCUCGGUUGUGAGAACUUGGAGAAUAUGGAACACGAUGUUAGCGCUAUGGUGAAGAUAGGUGUGGAGGUUGAUUUUGCACACAUUAAUUAUGAUGAAAGUGACAGUUGCACCAUCUAGGAAAGUUGCACAUAAAAAUGAUUGUAAUUGUAUGACAUUUGUAUAGGGACUAUAGUACACAAAUUUCUGGUUGUAAAUGUAUCUUAAUGGUUAUAGGGACUUUUGUUAUCAGAAUUAUGCAUGGAAUUUAAUUGAUUGAUUUUACAUUUCAUAAUAGGGUAUUAAGUGUUUGGACUAUAAUGGAUUUUUAUUUUUAUUUUUUGUAUUUGUUUUAAUAUAUUAUGUCAUUGUGUUUCAAUUUUGUAAGCUGCUUGAUUCAAGCUAAUGCUAACUAUUUAUAUGCUAUUCUCUCUUAUUUCAAUUCAUAUAAUUACUUCAUUCUAUUUUUUUUGUUAAAUAAAUAAAUUAUGUCUUCUAAACACACGUCUGAGUAUGGAUUGCAACUUAUAAAAUUGUAAAAAAUAAAAUAAAAUUAUAUCAUAUUUUUUAUAUUUUAAGAAUUUUUAAUAUAAGCUCUUAAUCUAUAUCAAUAAAUCUAAUCUACUAACAGGUGAAAAAAAGAAAUUUAUGUACAAAGAAUUGAGAUUAAAAUAUAAAAAAAAAUUAAUCAACAUUACAAUGUGAAUAAAUGGGAUGUAUAUAAUUAAUAUUGAUUACUUUUGGCAUCAAGGAAAAAUCUAACCAUGUGACAACCACAUCACUCUUUAAUGCGCUUUUCAACAUAUGGCUACUUUUAUUCUUUUUCCCUUUUGCUUCUUCAAUUCUUUAACUUCUUUUGAGAAAAGCCAAGUACAUGGGCCCUUUUAAGUUGAAAAAUGAGUCAUAGCAUGCUUAUCUUUCCACAUUGUUCUAAUUUUUCAUAGAAAUGAUCCAACAAAUACAUUGAAAUUGUAUUGGAAGAUGAAGGGUGAUUGCACCAAUUGGCCAUGGCUAUGGAGUUGGUACUAGUGUUCCUCUAAUAAUGUUCUCCAGGUAAAGUCAAAGUAUUUUUGCCUUCUUCCCCUUUACUUUAAUUACCAUUUUAUCGAUUUGAUUAGUGUAAUUAUCUGAAAAUAUAUAUCAUUAAUAUUUCUCUAAUCUUGGAUUGGAUUUAAAUUGAUUAGAUUGUCUAAUUUAAAAUCCAUUCAUAAUUUUUUCUACUAUAUUUAUACAAAAAUUUAAAUAGUAAAAUAAAAUUUUAAAAUAGUAAUAAAAAAAAGUAGAAAUAAAUUUACAUACCUUUAAAAAAAAUGAAAAAUUACAUGAUAUGAUUAUAAUUUGAUGUUUUUAAAAAAAUAUAAAAUAUAUAUAUUAUUAUGUAAAAAAUAUAUAUUAUAAACAUGAUGAAAAUAUUAAAUCAAGUUUAUUAUCUGUUGACAAAUAGAAUGAGAUGUUUAGGUCUACUAUAAUGUCUAGUCAAUCAUUCGAGCAAGGAGAUUGGCUAUGUAAAUCAUGGUAAGCUUUCUAAAAGCAAGGUUUUCACGGAUGGAAGACCAUAAAAUUUAGAAAGAUUCCAUUAUAUUUACAUCUUUCACUUCCAUCAUAGAAAGCAGACAUACAUGAAUGGGCCAUGGGUUGAGUGAUGGCACACCUAACUUUCCACAUUGUCGUCAUUAAUUUCCAACAAAAAUAAUUGACGGCAUUGAGUUCUUAUUGGAGCAAAGAAAGCUGCUACUCCAUUCCUAUUCUUCCUAACGACGUCUUGUGUCUUUCAUUUCCACUUCGCAUCUGCUAACCUUCAUCUUCCCCUCAAUUCCUUCACUUCCUCUGCAGAGAAACAGGCAUGGCCCUAGAGAUAUUUGCAGGAGCUUUUCUCUCCGCUUCUCUCCAUGUUCUUUUCGACAGGUUGGCUUCUUCCGAGGUAUGGACCUUCAUCGGGGGACAGAAGGUCAGUGAGGAACUCCUUCUGGAGUUGGGGAUGAAAUUGCUGGUUGUGGAUAAAGUGCUCGACCAUGCUGAGGUAAAGCAAUUUACAGAUGAACGAGUCAAAAGGUGGUUGGUGCGCGUUAAGAAUGCUGUGUAUGAUGCGGAAGACCUACUGGACGAGAUUACCACAGAAGCUUUGCGACGCAAGAUGGAAGCUGCUGACUCCCAGACUGGCCCAACUCACGUACUGAACAGCUUUUCCACAUGGUUUAAGGCCCCACUUGCUGAUCAUCAAAGCAUGGAAUCUAAGGUAAAGAAGAUCAUCGGAAAACUGGAAGUUCUUGCACAAGCAAUAGAUGUGCUUGCUUUGAAGGGUGAUGGUAAGAAACUGCCACAAAGAUUACCCUCGACUUCUCUGGUGGAUGAAUGUUGUGUGUACGGCAGGGAUGAAAUUAAAGAGGAGAUGAUUAAAGGGUUGUUGUCUGAUAAUACAGGUCGCAACAAGAUAGAUGUGAUCUCCAUAGUCGGCAUGGGCGGCGCAGGCAAGACCACCCUGGCUCAGCUUUUGUAUAAUGAUGGGAAAGUGAAAGGACACUUUCACCUGAAAGCAUGGGUUUGUGUUUCGGAGGAGUUUUGUCUUCUCAAGGUGACAAAAUCAAUUCUUGAGGGAAUAGGAUCUGCGGCCUCUUCUCAUAUGCAAAGCGAGAACCUGGAUUUGCUUCAGCAAAACUUAAAAGAUAGCCUUGGUGACAAGAAAUUUCUACUCGUUCUGGAUGAUGUUUGGGAGAAAUGUCCUAGUGAAGGGGCAGGGUUACGAAUUCCGCUCCUAGCUGCUUGGGAAGGGUUACGAAUUCCACUCCUAGCUGCUGGGGAAGGAAGCAAGGUUGUUGUGACCACUCGCAAUCGAAACGUUGCAAAAAUCAUGCGUGCAGAUCAUACUCAUCCUCUGGAAGGGUUGUCCCAGGCACAUUGUUGGUCCUUAUUUGAAAAACUUGCAUUUGAAAAUGGAGCCUCGGGCCCAUAUCCUCAACUUGAAUCAAUAGGCAGAAAGAUCGUGGCUAAAUGCCAAGGAUUGCCUUUAGCGGUCAAAGCACUUGGUUGUCUCUUGUAUUCUAAAACUGACCGAAGGGAAUGGGAACAAAUUUUGGAGAGUGAAAUUUGGGAUUUGCAAGAUCAUGAAAUCGUUCCUUCGUUGAUAUUGAGUUAUCGAGAUCUCCCAUUGCAUCUGAAACGAUGUUUUGCCUAUUGCUCCAUUUUCCCCAAGGACCAUGAAUUUGAUAAGGAGAAUCUGAUUUUACUAUGGAUGGCAGAAGGACUUCUACAAUUUUCAAAAAGCAAUGAAAGAAUGGGAAAGGUAGGUGAGAAGUAUUUUGAUGAACUUGUAUCGAAGUCAUUUUUUCAGAAAUCUGCUUUCAACAAAUCAUGCUUUGUCAUGCAUGAUCUCAUGCAUGACUUGGCUCAAUAUAUAUCUAGAGAAUUUUGUAUUCGAGUUGAGGAUGAUAAGGUGCAAGAAAUCUCAGAGAACACUCAUCACUCAUUGGCCUUUUGUCGUACCUUUGAUAGAUUGGUUGUGUUUAAGAGGUUUGAGGCCCUUGCAAAAAUAAAGUGUCUUCGAACGUACCUUGAGUUUUCAGAGGAAUUUCCUUUUUAUAUUCCAAGUAAAAGGGGAAGUGUUGAUUUACACGCUAUAUUAUCUAAAUGGAGGUACUUACGAGUGUUGUCAUUGCGUUUUUAUAGACUUACUGAUUUGCCCGAUUCAAUAGGUGAAUUAAAAUAUUUGCGUUAUUUGGAUAUCUCAUAUACUGGGAUUAAAAAGUUGCCUGAUUCCGUGUGUUAUUUAUACAAUUUACAAACAAUGAUUCUAUCAGUAUAUUACCAUUUCAUUGAAUUGCCUGAAAGGAUGGAUAAAUUGAUUAAUUUGCGUUAUCUUGAUAUAAGAGGAUGGAGAGAAAUGCCAAGUCACAUUAGUACAUUAAAAAGUUUACAGAAGUUGAGUAAUUUUAUUGUGGGCCAAAAAGGUGGAUCAAGAAUUGGUGAAUUAGGAGAGCUUUCAGAUAUUGGGGGAAGACUUGAAAUUUCAGAAAUGCAGAAUGUGGAGUGUGCUAGGGAUGCGUUGAGAGCGAAUAUGAAGGAUAAGAGACACCUUGAUGAACUAUCCUUGGCAUGGAGAGACGAAGGUACUAAUGAUGUUAUACAAAGUGGCGUCCUCAACAACUUGCAGCCUCAUCCAAAUUUAAAGCAGCUUACCAUCGCAGGUUAUCCCGGUGUAGCAUUUCCAGACUGGAUAGGAGGAGGUUCUUCACUCUCGAAUCUGGUCACCCUGCUGUUGUGGACAUGUGAAAAUUGUUCAUCAUUGCCACCACUUGGGCAACUACCCUCUCUUAAACAUCUUUCUAUCUCAGGACUAAAAGGAGUAGAGAGGGUGGGAAGGGAGUUUUAUGGGGAUGCUUCUUCCUCCAUUGCAAGUAAGCCCUCCUUCCCAUUCCUACAAACUCUAAGAUUUGACAGGAUGGACAACUGGGAGCAAUGGUUAUGUUGUGGAUGCGAAUUCCAUCGUCUCCAGGAGCUUUAUAUAAAGAAAUGUCCCAAACUCACAGGGAAAUUACCAGAAGAGCUUCCUUCAUUGAAGAAACUUGAAAUUGAUGGAUGUCGGGGGCUGCUUGUGGCUUCACUCCAAGUUCCAGCCAUUCGUGAAUUGAAAAUGGUGGGUUUUGGUGAAUUGCAGUUGAAAAGGCCAGCCUCUGGCUUCACUGCUCUUCAAACUUCACAUAUUGAAAUUUCAAAUGUGCCUCAGUGGAGGCAACUACCAUUGGAACCGCACGAGCUCACAAUUACAAACCUUGAUGCUGUAGAGUCUCUACUAGAGGAGGGAAUCCCGCAAACCCACCCUUCUGUCAUGCAUGAUUUGAAAAUCAGGGGUUGUUAUUUUUCCAGACCGUUGAACAGAUUUGGUUUUUCCAUGGUCACAUUAAAAUCGCUACAAAUCUGUGACUGUAACAACGUAGGGUUUCUCCUACCUGAGUUGUUCAGAUGCCAUCACCCAUCUCUUGAAGAAUUAAAAAUCAUCGAUAGUAAAACCGAUUUAUCUCUCUCAUCAUCCUUCUCAUUAUCCUUCUCUUUAGCCAUCUUCCCCAGGUUGAUUCAUUUUGAUAUCAGUUCUGUAGAUGGUCUUGAAUCCCUCUCCAUCUCGAUUUCAGAAGGGGAACCAACUUCUCUUCGUUCGUUGGAAAUUAUCAAGUGCGAUGAUCUUGAAUAUAUUGAAUUGCCUGCUCUCAACUCGGCAUGCUAUAGUAUCUCGGAAUGCUGGAAGCUCAAGUCGCUGGCACUCGCACUCUCAUCCUUGAAGAGAUUAAGUUUAGCAGGUUGUCCACAAUUGUUGUUUCACAACGAUGGUUUGCCCUUCGACCUACGUGAACUCGAAAUUUUCAAAUGCAACCAACUCAAGCCCCAGGUGGACUGGGGUUUGCAGAGACUGGCCUCUCUUACAGAAUUCAUAAUCGGUGGAUGCCAGAACGUGGAGUCAUUUCCCGAGGAGCUCCUGCUGCCCCCCACUCUUACCACUCUUGAAAUGAAAUAUUUUCCAAAUCUCAAGUCUCUGGACGGUAGAGGGCUUCAACAGCUUACCUCGCUCACAAAAUUAUCCAUCCGUCACUGCCCUCAGCUCCAAUUUAUUCCACAAGAGGGGUUUCAACAUUUUCCUUCUCUUAUGGAAUUAGAGAUCGAAGACUGCCCGGGCCUCCAAUCCUUUGGGGAAGACAUCCUUCGACAUCUUUCAUCUCUUGAACGAUUAUCCAUCUGUCGGUGCGAUGCACUCCAGUCCUUGACAGGAUCGGGUCUUCAACACCUCACCUCUCUUGAAAAAUUGGAAAUCCGUCUCUGCCCUAAGCUCCAAUCUUUGAAAGAAGUGGGUCUACCAUGCCUUGCCCCUCUUAAACAACUACACAUCUCGGGCUUACCCGAGCUCCAAUCCUUGACAGAAGUGGGUCUUCAACACCUCACCUCUCUUGAAAUAUUAUGCAUCUUCAACUGUCCUAAGCUUCAAUCCUUGACAGGAGAGAGACUUCCAGAUUCCCUCUCUUUUCUACACAUCAAGAACUGUCCUUUGCUGGAACAGCGGUGCCAAUUUGAAGAAGGGCAAGAAUGGGAUUAUAUAGCUCACAUCCCACGAAUAUACAUCGGUCGUGAGGCAUUCUAACGAAGGUGUUUGCUGGAGUAAUAAUUAGCCAGGUACUUAUGCUACAUUUUAACAUUUUAACCAACCAAGAAUUAUAUUUCCACGACUUCUUCAAUUUACCUUUCAAAAUGCUGUGAAAUAUUUUAAUUACUUUAAUCCUUUUGAGGGCCUAACAAAUGUUGAUCUUUUUCCCAUGCUACAAAAUUUGGGAUUUAACUUUGUGAAGAGGAGCAAGGGAAGAUUAACCACAGGUAGGCAACAUUUUGAACAAUUUGAGACUAGAAUCAAAUGUGGUUUUGCAAACAUUUGUGUACAUUGUACUUCCAGAAUGUAAAUUUGUGUCUAUUUCUCUUACAGAGUCACAGAGGAAAUCAAUAAGAUCUCAAAUUGCAAGAAUUUCAGGUCACUGAUGCUUGCUCUGGUACUUUACUGAGUAUCACGAACUGUUCGUGGCUGAUGUCCCACAUGUAGUAAGAGAUGAUCUGGCUUUCUAACGACGAUGAUUGCACACCAAUUUACAGUCAGUCAGGUAAUUUUUGUUUUUGUUAAUUAUUUCAGUUUGGUAUAUUAUUUGAUUCCAUAUCUCCUGCUAUUGAAUCUUUUCAGAUUCCGAUAAUGGUCCAUAAGUUGAAGCUUUUACACAACUAUGUUGCAAUCCAGGUGCAUUGAGCAGCCCUACAGAUUUGGUGUCUUGAUUAGCAUUAUUGGGUUUGUUUUCCAUGGGCUAAAUCAUUGGGAACCACUUUUGAUUAUCAGUUUCUAAGGGGCAUUGUGUUUCAGGUAUGUAACAACAAAGACACAUACUACCUUCUGCAUCCCAGUACCCUUCACAAGAUUGGUGCAGGACAUGCUCUGUUUCUUUGAUUUAAGAUUUAUUCAGAGGGUAGGACUCCGGAACAAAAAUAGAAGAAGAAUGGGGGGAGAAUGACUCAGGGAAGCUAUUGCUUUAAGCAUACACAAGAAGCAAGACACAGAGUUCUGAUGAAUGCCAUUUUCUCUUUUGCAUUUUGACUAGCAUUUGAUCCAAGUACUCCUUUCAGAUCUUAAUACUCCAUUCAAGGGACUGCAGAACCUCAGCUCUCUUCAAGAACUGAAUGAUGUUUUCUCACACUUUUGAUGGAGAAUGAACCCUCCUUGUUUGUUGAAUUUAAGACUUAUUUUGAAACUAGAAACCAGGAACAAAUAUAUGAAGAAGAGCAAGAGAGAGUUGACCCUAGAUAGCUUACAUUAUUGCGCAAAUUUAUGUUAGAUCUAGGACUCAUUUUGGAAACUACUGGUCCAAAAACAAACACAGUGAAGCAGAACUAAGAUGAUACAAUUUAUUAAAGACUUCUCCAAAUCUAUUUUGUGUAAUCAUUUAGAUGACUCAAAUUAAAAUUCUUCAUGCUUUAAAAAUAUGUCACCCAUCAUAUUCUGUCCACUCCCUUCCCCUUCAUAUUUUAAUUCAUCAUCAAUUAGAGUUUCUAAUGCCAAUGAUAAAUUAAACUCCAUAGUGAAUUUUUCUUAUUCUUUUUCUGAUCAAUUGUGAUUAUGAAGCAAAUAUCUUAAAAAGAUAAGUCAGAGCACAUCCAUAGCUGUACCUCUGCAAAUUUCUGAUCAAUUCAUCCAUGUUUUCUUUCCUUUUAUUUAUUUUUAUAUGGUAGCUGUUGAAUUCUCUGACUAUAUAUUCUCAUAAACUCACACCCAAUACUUUCAGUUUCAUAUAUGAUCUAAUGGAAUGAGUUAACACCUAAAUAUUUGUCUAAUUGUUGUGUCUUUUGCAGAUGCCUUCCACUUUCGCCAGCCUUGUAACCCUACUUAUUCGAAGGUAUUUCCUUUUCUUCCCUGCUCGUUGUAUAGAUAUCACUACUUUGCUCCUUAUAAACUGCACCAUUAGUUUUAUAAAAAAAAAAUAGCACCUGUAAUGCUGCAGCUGUUUUCAUGGCUGGUCUUGCUCCUAAAAUUUUUGUCUUUUGUAUGUUCAAAGCGAGGGUUUAGUUAUUAUGAUGGCUCUUUGAAAUGGAAGGUGGAGUUAGGAAGAUGUGUCUGUUGUAGCGGCUGUGACAUAAUUGCUACUAAAAUUAAGAGAUAUUAUUCUUGAUGGUUCUCUCCCUCCUCCUUGAUGGGAUCUGCGAAAAUUGACUAGUGAGUGAGCCACUACCAUGCCUUUCCAUGCUAUAUUACUGAAACAAAAUUGGUCAAAUCUUACAGAGGUGGCUCUGUUUUGAUUUGGCAGGCUUGCACUUACGAGGAGUCCCCGUGGUGAAAGGCCCUGGAGAUUUUCUUGUUUUGCACCAAGUCAACCAGUUUCAAAAGACAAGCCAGUUUAAGUACAACAUCUUUGUGAUGUACCUUUGGAACUUUUUUCUUUCCUGAUUUUGAUGUCAUUUUCUGCUUGGUUUGGUCUUUCUUGGGUGUCAACAGUGACCAGGAAUUUUUGACAAAAUGGAGAGUGCCAGUCUCCCUCUCUUAUUUGACGGUCAACUACUGUUGUUCUCUCCAAGAACAGUUCCAAUUCAGGAAAGGGAAAGAUGGGCAUUAUAUAGCUCACAUUCCACAAAUGGAGAUAGGCCUAGUGCUGUUCUAAUGAAGGUGGUGGUACAUCAAUAUAUAACAAGGUAAUUGUUCUAUGCUCAAAAUAAAUUUCUUCCAAAAAUGUUUCACUUGAGAUUUUUCUCUUAACCCAACAAGCCUAGUUCGAGAUAAUUCACACUUCAACACAGCCAGCUUUCAUUUUAUUUGGCAGAUUGCACUUACUGGGAGUUCCUGUAACAAAAGGUUGUGGUGACGCUUUAUUCUGCCUAAACAAGAGGAUCACUUACCAAAGGCAGGGGGAUAGAAUUCUAACAUCUUUGUUCUAUGGUUGCCACUCGUUUCUUUCCCAAGUUUUGAUGUCAUUUUGUUAUUGUUUUCGUUCUGGUGUUUGUUAGGUCUUGAUUGCUCGGGGAGAAUACGAAGAUGUUCUAUUGCUGUGGGGUUAUGGUCUUAGAAUUGAGAACAUUCUUGUGCUUCUAUCGGUGACUAUGGGCAUUGGUUCUCAUUGUUUGUGUCAACAAGAGUCAAUUGUAUAUUUGUAGAGAAAUAAUGUCUAAAUUUUUAAUGAAGGUUUACUCCAUGAGACUUGCAAGAAGAAUAUUGUAAUUAAAUUGAUCAACCUAUGAGACUUUUGGUAGUUCUGUUUGCCAUUUUGAUGUCGGUAUCAUCUUGAAGUGGUGGAGUGCAGUUUCCUCAUUGAACUUUAUGAUUUUAUAUGGAAAAGAUGAUUUUGAGCUUAUUCAUUGUCUUCAUGCAUUUUUUUUUUUGUUAUUUUUGCUCAAAUUUGGAAGUUUAUACCAAGCUAAGAAUGUACAAAUUGUUAUGCACUCUUUAGAUUGUUUGUUUACCCAUUUUGUUGUCAUUUUAUUCUUGUUUUGGUGUUUGUUAGGUCUUGAUUGCGACCAGAAAUUUAAUAGAUGUCUACUGCUGUGGAGAUGAUUAUUGAGAUCACUCAUGGAUCCCAUUCCAAACAAGCCUAUUCUUUCAGUUUUUCUAAUGAUUGAGCAUUAUAAAAUUAGGUUGUGUGAAUAAAUUUCUUUUAUCCUCUUAAUAGACUAUCUCAAAAGCCCUUUUGAUUUACCAUUUUAGGGUUUUGAUUCUAUUGGAUUUGUUGUCAGCCCUAGGAAGUUCCUGUUUUAAAAUUUGAUUUGUAAUGUUAAGACCAUUAACAAAGUGACAUUGUAAGUAUCAUUUUCCAUGGAAUAAUUCCUUAGAAAGUUCAUGGCAGUCCCCAUUUUCUUCAUGACAAAUAUUAGAACUCUGAAAGCCAUCUCUUCCCUAAACCAUUCCUGAUAAUCAAUUUUGAGAAUCAUGAAACUGUUUCGUCGAUGACAGCAGCAAAAUAUCAGGAAUUGCAGAGCCUCAACUCUCUUGAAGAAUUGUGUAUGUACAAA
rnacentral:lncRNA from 1 species